rnacentral:rRNA from 1 species
GACGAACGCUGGCGGCGUGCUUAACACAUGCAAGUCGAACGGAAAGGCCCUGCUUUUGUGGGGUGCUCGAGUGGCGAACGGGUGAGUAACACAUGAGUAACCUGCCCUUGACUUUGGGAUAACUUCAGGAAACUGGGGCUAAUACCGGAUAGGAGCUCCUGCUGCAUGGUGGGGGUUGGAAAGUUUCGGCGGUUGGGGAUGGACUCGCGGCUUAUCAGCUGGUUGGUGGGGUAGUGGCUUACCAAGGCUUUGACGGGUAGCCGGCCUGAGAGGGUGACCGGCCACAUUGGGACUGAGAUACGGCCCAGACUCAUACGGGAGGCAGCAGUGGGGAAUAUUGCACAAUGGGCGGAAGCCUGAUGCAGCAACGCCGCGUGCGGGAUGACGGCCUUCGGGUUGUAAACAGCUUUCGCCUGUGACGAAGCGUGAGUGACGGUAAUGGGUAAAGAAGCACCGGCUAACUACGU